UUACUGGAUUUUCAGAUUAGCUACUGACAAGCAGCCCCAAAGAAGAAAGGCACACUAAGCUUACAUUAUAUUGGGAAGUUGAGAAAUAUUAGGAGGUUACUUACGCUGGAUUUUAUUCCAUGUAGAGACAGAGGUUUAUAAAGAGUAUAAUUUUUUGUGAUAUCUAUCAUUUGCCAUGUAACUUAUGUUUAAUUGAACCUUAGAUUUGUUUCAUAUUUCAUGCUUGUACAUUGUUGUUCUAGAUGUUCUUGACUUUACCUUUAUGCUUACCCUAUUGUGUUGGAUUAUUAUUGCUACUGAGUAUUUGUUAAUGGAUUCAUGUUUCCUUCCA